GAUAGUGUGGCCGAGUGGUCUAUGGCGCUGGUUUUAGGCACCAGUCUCUUCUGAGGCAAGGGUUCGAAUCCCUUCACUGUCA
rnacentral:tRNA from 1 species